rnacentral:rRNA from 1 species
UACGAAGGGGGCUAGCGUUGUUCGGAAUUACUGGGCGUAAAGCGCGCGUAGGCGGAUUUGUAAGUCAGGGGUGAAAGCCCGGGGCUCAACCCCGGAACUGCCUUUGAUACUGCAAGUCUAGAGGUCGAGAGAGGUGAGUGGAAUUCCGAGUGUAGAGGUGAAAUUCGUAGAUAUUCGGAGGAACACCAGUGGCGAAGGCGGCUCACUGGCUCGAUACUGACGCUGAGGUGCGAAAGCGUGGGGAGCAAACAGG